GACGAACGCUGGCGGCAUGCCUAACACAUGCAAGUCGAACGAGACCUUCGGGUCUAGGGGCGCACGGGUGCGUACCACGUGGGAACCUGCCCUUAAGUUCGCAAUAACUCCCCGAAGGGGAACCUAAUGCCGGAUAAUGUCUUCGGACCUAAGAUUUAUCGCCUUGGGGUGGGCCCUUGUUGGAUUGGUUGGUUGGUAGGGGAAAAGCCUACCAAGGCGACGAUCCAUAGCUGGUCGGAGAGGAUGACCCGCCACACUGGGACUGAGACACGGCCUAGACCGGUACGGGAGGCAGCAGUGGGGAACAUUGGACGAGGGGCGAAAGCCUGGUACAGCAACGCCGGGUGAGUGAUGCAGGGGGUAGGGUUGUAAAGCUGUCUUACACGGGAUGAGAAUGACAGUACCGGGAGAAUAAGCACCGGCUAACUCCGUG
rnacentral:rRNA from 1 species